CAGUCGCCGCGGUAAUGCGUAGGGUGCGAGCGUUAAUCGGAAUUACUGGGCGUAAAGCGUGCGCAGGCGGUUGUGUAAGACAGGUGUGAAAUCCCCGGGCUUAACCUGGGAACUGCGCUUGUGACUGCACAGCUAGAGUAUGGCAGAGGGGGGUGGAAUUCCACGUGUAGCAGUGAAAUGCGUAGAGAUGUGGAGGAACACCGAUGGCGAAGGCAGCCCCCUGGGCCAAUACUGACGCCCAUGCACGAAAGCGUGGGGAGCAAACAGGAUUAGAUACCCCAGUAGUCCCUGUCUCUUAUAC
rnacentral:rRNA from 1 species